GUCUACAGCCAUACCACCCUGAACUCACCUGAUCUCGGAAGCUAAGCAGGGUCAGGCCUGGUUAGUACUUGGAUGGGAGAACUGCCAGCUUGGAGGAAUCAGUUUGGAGCAAAUG
rnacentral:rRNA from 1 species